CAAUGAAGGAAACAUGGUAAUGUGCACAUAAAUUGAAUUGGGUCUCUAAGCCUGCCCUCUCUGAUGCCAUUUGGCUUUGAUUUAAGGGCAUAAUUCAGCAACAAAAUA